AACGAACGCUGGCGGCAUGCCUAACACAUGCAAGUCGAACGAGACCUUCGGGUCUAUUGGCGCACGGGUUCGUAACGCGUGGGAACCUGCCCUUAGGUUCGGAAUAACUCCCCGAAAGGGGUGCUAAUACCGGAUAAUGUCUUCUGACCAAAGAUUUAUCGCCUUUGGAUGGUCCCGCGUUGGAUUAGCUAGUUGGUAGGGUAAAAGCCUACGAAGGCGACGAUCCAUAGAUGGUCUGAGAGGAUGAUCAACCACACUGGGACUGAGACACGGCCCAGACUACUACGGGAGGCAGCAGUGGGGAAUAUUGGACAAUGGGGGAAAGCAUGAUCCAGCAAUGAGGCGAGAGUGAUGAAGGCAUUAGGGUAGUAAAGCUCUAUUAACAGGGAAGAUAAUGACAGUACCGGGAGAAAAAGCUCCGGCUAACUACGUG
rnacentral:rRNA from 1 species